rnacentral:tRNA from 1 species
GCCCGGCUAGCUCAGUCGGUAGAGCAUGAGACUCUUAAUCUCAGGGUUGUGGGUUCGAGCCCCGCCUCGUGUC